CAAAAUUUGGGCAUAUGGAAAAAAAAUGGACUCUUGCUUGGUUGGAAUCCAAAAAUACCUCACCUUCUAAAAUCGCGCCGCCUCCUGUCACCGUGUUUUCCAUCCUGCUGUCCGCCGUCGAGCCGAGUUAGGGGAAGCGCCGGUGAGCUUGGGGUUCUGGGUGUUGUGGGUUGUUUCUGGGUGAUCUUGGAGGUUGGAUAGAGGGCCUAGAUGGGGUUGGUGCCGGUUGCCGUGCUGUUCGAUGGCCGGGACGGCCGAAACACGCGCGCGCCGCCGUGGCCGAGCCACGACCACGGGGGUCGCCGUCGAGCCCUCUGCUCCGGCGCUCCCAAGGCCUAGCUGGUGGCCGUGGCAUGCCGUGGGGGUGGCAGUGGUGCCCCCCAAGCCGCUUAUCGGCAAGGGAAGGCACCACCGUUCAGACGGUGACGGAGACGACGACGGCGACGGCGUGGUUCCUCACGGCACGGACCGCGCGCUGGUUGGUGGCGCCGGCGUCUGCACACCAAGUGCUCGAUGCUUUGCCUGCACGCCGGUGUAUGCACGAACUCCAGUAAGCAGGCGAAAGUUGAGUCGGACCUGAUGAGGAACGGAAUUGAGUUGCAGCUAGUACUGAAGGUGAGAUGGUGGUAUCAUAUCCUUCUUUUGAAUUGGCACUGCAGUACAAUAAGUAACAGUUGUCCUCAAACAAACACUGAUUCAUAUACAAAUAGCAUCAGUCACACAUUAUUUUUUUCUGCAUUUCCACACUAUCUCAUCACAAACUCAGCAAUAUUGGACUAUAAAUUCCGUGAGAAGCUAAAACGGCAAGGAAGGAGAAUUGGGGCAGUGGCUUUCUAAAUUUUGCCAGGAGUCCGGCAUCACCUAGCCUAAUAAUGCAUGCCACUGCAUGGGAUCUUCCUCCUCUCUUUGCCUUGUUUUAACAUGGCGGUCCCUUAUCUGGCGCAUCUCAGCUGCUGCAUCGCUCAUGCGCAUCCUCUCUGUCGGUGCCUGCUGGCUGCAUGACAGCGCAAGUUUUGUGAGGCACAACAUGACAUUGUUGAUGUGUUCCAUUUCAUUUCGUCCACUCUGGAGGUUACUUGUAUAGGCUCCUUCUUCAGAGAGUAUGACUGGAUCAACAAUCUGCAUUAGCAUUCCUGGGAACAUAUUCUCAGCAUGCUUCUGCAAGGUCAGCCCGUCUCUGAACAUGGCAUGAGUAGGUGCCAUGCCUGUAAACAACUCGAGGAUGACAAUUCCGAAGCUGUAUGUGUCCCCACAUGGAGAAACUUGACCGCCUUCCCCAAAUUCUACAAUGCACACACAAAUUUCAGUGAUUCAACAUGCAAGAAAAUUUUUGUUCUUCUUAAUACAACGAUGCGCAGCUCUCCUGCGUAUUCGAGAAAAAGAAAAAAAAGAAAAAUUUUGUUCUGAGAUUAUGUGGUGUCAGAAAAUCUGAAAAAUCUAGUUACCUGGGGCAACAUAUCCAAUUGUUCCCUUUAUUCCAACUGUGCUCUUUGAGUUAAUCAGUUGCUCACUUGUUGAAUCAGAAAGAAUCUUUGCAAGGCCGAAAUCCCCAACAUGCGCAAUAAAAUCCUGAUUGAGAAGAAUAUUGCUUGGCUUCAAGUCACAGUGAACAAUUGGUGGAUCACAAUUGUUGUGCAAAUAAUCUAUUGCAUCAGCAACAUCCACGGCAAUAUUCAAUCUUUGUGUUAAUGUCAGACCUCUCAAUGGCUGUGGUGAAUGCACAUCUAGAUGUAUCCACCUAUCUAAACUUCCGUUAGGCAUGAACUCAAACACAAGGGCUUUGAAAUCGUUUUGGUUUGAGUCUGAACUUGAGCAGCAAGUUAUGACACUAAUCAAAUUACGAUGACGGAUAUUACUAAGUGCCUCACACUCAGAUAUGAAGCUUUUCGAAGAGCAAGAUUGUUGAAGAUCAAACACCUUAACAGCAACUGUAGUCAUUGCAUUUUUGAGUUGCAAACUGCACUUGUACACUGAUCCAUACCUUCCUCUACCAAGCAGAUUAUUUGUGUCGAAACCAUUUGUUCCUUGGACCAACUCAGCAUAAGAAACUUUAGGAUACUUAUCAUCUAUUAGAUGGAACCCUUCCAGUGCUGUGGACUGAUCUUUUUGUUUCUUCCUCAAUGUGAUAUAAACAAGCAUCAAAGCAAAGAAUAAAACUGUGCUGGAAACUGGGACAGUUACUUUUAGAAUGAGGUGAAGUUUCCCUUUGCUGUGCCCCAUGGAGUUUUGCAGGCAUGUAGGCAAAUGUAUUUCUGAGACACCACCACAGAGCCCUAGAUUCCCAUCUAAUGAAAAUUGAGUCAUAUUACUGAACACCCCAUGUGUUGGAACUUCACCAUCCAGUUGGUUGAAGGACAGGUCUAGCUUGUACAAGGAUGGCAUGUUCUCAAAGCUUUCUGGUAUUGUGGUAUAUGCCCAGACAAGUUGUGUGAAAGGGAUGCUACCGUUGAAUGAGUUACUGUCCAACCGAAGGUCUAUCAAGCUCUGACAAUUGCUGAGUGCAUCAGGUAGUGGCCCAGAUAAAUUGUUCUUGGAGAUGUUCAAGUAUGCAAGCUUCGUCAGGCUG